UACGUAGGGGGCGAGCGUUGUCCGGAGUUACUGGGCGUAAAGCGCUUGUAGGCGGUCCACCAAGUUUGGGGUGACAGUUGCCGACUUAAUCGGCAAAGUGCCUCAAAGACUGGCGGACUUGAGGGCCACAGAGGGACAUGGAACUCCAGGUGUAGUGGUGAAAUGCGUAGAUAUCUGGAAGAACACCAAAGGCGAAGGCGGUGUCCUGGGUGGUCGCUGACGCUGAGAGGCGAAAGCCAGGGGAGCGAACGGG
rnacentral:rRNA from 1 species